AGUGAACGCUGGCGGUAGGCCUAGCACAUGCAAGUCGAACGGCAGCACAGUAAGAGCUUGCUCUUACGGGUGGCGAGUGGCGGACGGGUGAGGAAUACAUCGGAAUCUACUUUUUCGUGGGGGAUAACGUAGGGAAACUUACGCUAAUACCGCAUACGACCUACGGGUGAAAGCAGGGGAUCUUCGGACCUUGCGCGAUUGAAUGAGCCGAUGUCGGAUUAGCUAGUUGGUGGGGUAAAGGCCCACCAAGGCGACGAUCCGUAGCUGGUCUGAGAGGAUGAUCAGCCACACUGGAACUGAGACACGGUCCAGACUCCUACGGGAGGCAGCAGUGGGGAAUAUUGGACAAUGGGCGCAAGCCUGAUCCAGCCAUACCGCGUGGGUGAAGAAGGCCUUCGGGUUGUAAAGCCCUCUUGUUGGGAAAGAAAAGCAGCAGGUUAAUACCCCGCUGUUCUGACGGUACCCAAAGAAUAAGCACCGGCUAACUUCGUG
rnacentral:rRNA from 1 species